AGCUGUGGUCUCUCAGACCUCACAAGGAUAAAGAGGACUUUUUAAAUGGCAAUCAUUAAACUUAUCCAGUGUUCAUUGCCACGGCAAGUGGGAGCCACAGUAACAAUUAACCACAAGAUAAACUGGUUUUGUCCAAGACAUACUAGAUCCCUAGGGGGAGCGAGCGUUGCUGUGUCCACUGAGAUAGAAUGCCCCACCGCUGAUCUGAAGAUAAAGUCUCAGAAACCCUCAGCAGAGACAACCCACCAGAUCUUAACUGAUGUUACAGGACAGACAAAGACGUAACAAAACGCCUCAGAUUACUCACUCAUUCAGAUAACUGAGAUAAGGGGCAGGAUGAAACGUAACCAACUGAGUGG